AUGUCUCAUAUUUGUGUAGAAGUUGUUUUUGCAGGAGAAAAGAACACAAGAAAAGUAACAUCAAUUAAUCAGAUCCGGCAACAAGCGGAAACUGUGGAUGCAAAGAAUCAAUCGAGAUUGAACAGAAAAAUAAGAAGACCGAAAUUGCAAAAUCGUAGAACUCCAACCCAACUCCUUCUGCUGCUCACCUGCUCACACUUUCGUUGCGGCACCAUUGUCACCGCAUUUGACCCUUCGCGAAAUCUGUCGUCGACCCAAAACCUUCCUGCUUCCUUAUUCUCACCGGAAUCGAGCACCACCUGUGUCAACAGCCGCAAGUCACGGAUCCGCAACCACGAUCUGCUCCGAUAA